AAGUGUUACAGUUCUUUUAUAAUUUGUCUAGCAGGUUUUUCGGUGUUUAAAAAAAAAAAAUUUAAAAAGACCAGA
rnacentral:snRNA from 1 species